AACGAACGCUGGCGGCAUGCCUAACACAUGCAAGUCGAACGAGACCUUCGGGUCUAGUGGCGCACGGGUGCGUAACGCGUGGGAAUCUGCCCUUGGGUUCGGAAUAACUUCGGGAAACUGAAGCUAAUACCGGAUGAUGACGUAAGUCCAAAGAUUUAUCGCCCAAGGAUGAGCCCGCGUAGGAUUAGCUAGUUGGUGAGGUAAAGGCUCACCAAGGCGACGAUCCUUAGCUGGUCUGAGAGGAUGAUCAGCCACACUGGGACUGAGACACGGCCCAGACUCCUACGGGAGGCAGCAGUGGGGAAUAUUGGACAAUGGGCGCAAGCCUGAUCCAGCCAUGCCGCGUGCAGGAUGACGGUCCUAUCGGAUUGUAAACUGCUUUAUACAGGAAGAAACGACUCCGACGUGUCGGAGCUUGACGGUACUGUAAGAAUAAGGAUCGGCUAACUCCGUGCCAGCAGCCGCG
rnacentral:rRNA from 1 species